rfam:Rattus norvegicus chromosome 19, whole genome shotgun sequence.
GGGGAUUUAGCUCAGUGGUAGAGCGAGCGCUUACCUAGGAAGCGCAAGGCCCUGGGUUCAGUCCCCAGCUCCG